UACGGGGGGGGCAAGCGUUGUUCGGAAUUACUGGGCGUAAAGGGCUCGUAGGCGGCCAACUAAGUCAGACGUGAAAUCCCUCGGCUUAACCGGGGAACUGCAUCUGAUACUGGAUGGCUUGAGUUCGGGAGAGGGAUGCGGAAUUCCAGGUGUAGCGGUGAAAUGCGUAGAUAUGUGGAGGAACACCAGUGGCGAAGGCGACUCUCUGGGCUGUAACUGACGCUGAGGCGCGAAAGCGUGGGGAGCAAACAGG
rnacentral:rRNA from 1 species